AACGAACGCUGGCGGCAUGCCUAACACAUGCAAGUCGAACGAGAUCUUCGGGUCUAGUGGCGCACGGGUGCGUAACGCGUGGGAAUCUGCCCUUUGGUUCGGAAUAACAGUUGGAAACGACUGCUAAUACCGGAUGAUGACGAAAGUCCAAAGAUUUAUCGCCAGAGGAGGAGCCCGCGUAGGAUUAGCUAGUUGGUGUGGUAAAGGCGCACCAAGGCGACGAUCCUUAGCUGGUCUGAGAGGAUGAUCAGCCACACUGGGACUGAGACACGGCCCAGACUCCUACGGGAGGCAGCAGUGGGGAAUAUUGGACGAUGGGCGAAAGCCUGAUCCAGCUAUGCCGCGUGAGUGAUGAGGGCCUUAGGGUUGUAAAGCUCUUUUACCCGGGAUGUUAAUGACAGUACCGGGAGAAUAAGCUCCGGCUAACUCCGUGCCAGCCGCCGCGGUAA
rnacentral:rRNA from 1 species